rnacentral:rRNA from 1 species
UACGGAGGGAGCUAGCGUUGUUCGGAAUUACUGGGCGUAAAGCGCGCGUAGGCGGCUUUGUAAGUUAGAGGUGAAAGCCCGGGGCUCAACCCCGGAACUGCCUUUAAGACUGCAUCGCUUGAAUCCAGGAGAGGUGAGUGGAAUUCCGAGUGUAGAGGUGAAAUUCGUAGAUAUUCGGAAGAACACCAGUGGCGAAGGCGGCUCACUGGACUGGUAUUGACGCUGAGGUGCGAAAGCGUGGGGAGCGAACAGG